CCCAAUAUUUUAAUUUCUUUUGCAAAAAGUACAUUAUUUUCCAAUUAACCCCGAAGCUUCGGUCAACUGAAUUAGCGCUAUGAAUUUUUCUUGUCCUUUUGAACACACUCAAGACACUUGUAAUACCUCCAAUCGAACUCAAAAGUUCAUCGCCCAAUCAGUAAGCUGAAUCCUGAGAUAGAAUUUUUCAUCAGUCUGAGAUAUAGAUUCUGGGAAAUUCAUUGGAGCUGAGGAAAUCUGAGGAAAUGGAGAGAAACGGAGAGGGAGCACCGGCACUGGCACCGGCAGCGUCGUCGUCGUCGUCGUCUUCUUCACAAAUCACCAGACCUAGAAGAAGUGUGGACCCUUUGCUUGUCACUUGCAGGUUUUUCAGUGUCAUAACAGCCCUCACUGCUAUUCUCUGCAUUGUUUCCAAUGUUAUCUCUGCAAUUCGGUCCUUUAAGAACCAAUCCGAUAUAUUCGAUGGUAUAUUUCGGUGUUAUGCAGUUGUGAUCGCAUUCUUCGCGGUCCUUGCUGAGACGGAAUGGGAAUUUAUUUUCAAGAACUGGAAGGUAUUGGAAUAUUGGGCUGGCCGGGGCAUGCUGCAAAUCUUUGUUGCAGUCAUGACAAGAGCUUUCCCUGUGUAUUCUGUAGAGCAGAGAGAGCUUAUUCUUCUUCAAGAUGCUGCAAGUUAUCUUCUCCUUGCCUGUGGUGCGGUCUAUGUUGUAUCGGGGAUACUGUGCAUUGGGUUUCUCAAACGAGCUCGCGAAAAGAAAGAAACUGCAAAGGACAAGGUGGUCAAAGAUCUUCAGGAGUUGGAGAGACAAAAGCAAGAACUUGAACAGUUGCUCAUUUCAGAAACUGUUUGAAACAAUUUAAAGACAUCCCUAUGCACCAGAAUUUAAUUGCACCUGAUUCUCACUUCGCUGCUGGGAUUGUAUGAGCAUUUGUGCUGCUUCAUUUUUUACUCUACUAUAAUUGUUCCCUUGCAAAGUGAGUUUGGCUUAGUGGUAUUGGCAUGACGAGGUUGAAGGUUCAAUCUCCUACCCGCAGUUACUGUAAUAAAAAGUAAUAAUUGUUGUCCCACUACUCAUGUAAAUUAUGUGUGACUUAACAAGUUGUCCCUGCAGUAAUUGUGACCACAGCCUUGCAAUGUCUUGAUGAACGGUCUCAAUCACAGCAAGAUCACAUCUCUCAUAUAAAUAUUUAUGAUGAAUGUGCUUCAUGAUGCUACAAAAGCCAUCAGGCAAGCAGGUUCUUUUACUUUGUCUUAGAAUUUUCAUUUGCAUUGUUACUUUGUUAGUGACUUCAAUUUACUCGUGGAUAAAAUGAAUCUGUUAGACCCUAGUUAUAGAAAUACUAUUAUUAGUAGUAGAAUAUUUGUAUGAUUAUUAGAAGGGGCAUAUUAGUAUUUGGAUAGCAAUUUGGUUAGGGCCUCUUAGUAUAAAUCGAGUGAGAGGUUAGGAGCAAGGUGGGAUUUCCUCUGGAAAUUUUGGAAGAGUCUAGCCCUCUUAAAAGGCUAACCUUGUUACUUUUCUUAUAAUAUCAUAGCAUAUUUCCAUACUUUAGUCUUCUUGAAUUUUCUAUUUGUUCUUAAGUGUGUUCUUAUUUGGAGGUAUUCUAACCGAAUCCUUUUAGAGUUUUGGACAAAUUUUGGAAUUAUGACCGUGACUUUUAUAGUGUUAGCAUAUUGUUGUUGGCUUUCUCUUUCACGUAAAUUCUCUCUCUCACAGUUAUACGAAAACACAAUCAAUGAACUCUGACAGUCAUGGAAGAUGAGAAUAGAAGUUGAUUUGACUAUGAAUUGUGCUUGUUUCUCCUUAGUUUGUGGGUAUAGGAAAAAUCUUUAGUACUCCUGUAGACCUCAGUACCUACUUUCUAUGUUCACACUAGGAUUCGAUGCGGUUGGCUGACAUUAUCAUUCUUAAAAGACGCAGGCGUUUUGUGGUAGAGACAUUUAAGUGUGAUUACAAAACCCAAAAGUGGAGUGCGACUUCGAAUAAUCAGAAGCUUGUAUGGAAUGCGCACUUUAGUUGAACGAUGAAGAAAUUAUACAACCAAGAGUGAAGAAAUUGUCAAGUUGGUAUUACAAUAUAAUAUAUUAGACCACUUGCCCUUUGCACGAGGAGAUCUUUCAUCUUUUCAUUAUCUCACAAGUCUUAUAAUUUGAGUGAGUUAAACAACUCACUGACUCAAAUGCUCCAUUUCAGAAGUUCAACAACGCAAUACUUCAUUUAAAUUAAGUAUGAUUUCAUUGAUAUGAUUUAGUUUCGGUUUGAUGCUUGAAGUUUCAGUUUGUAUCUAAGAGUUCUGUGAACUGUAAAUACAGAUUGUAAAAAACAGUUCUUAUAAACAGUAAUAGUUUUUUAAAUAA